AACCCAUAUUGAUGACAUUUCUACUGGAGCUCCUGGAACCUAUCCCAUGUCUCAAAAAGAGACUCCAAUUCCAUUUGCACAAAAGAGGAUAUUUCAUUCCUAAGUGA